rnacentral:rRNA from 1 species
CCCCUAGAUGUUCUGGGCCGCACGCGCGCUACACUGAACAGUUCAACAAGUCUUAACCUUGGCCGAUAGGUCUGGGUAAUCUUUGAACGCUGUUCGUGAUUGGGAUAGACCUUUGCAAUUAUGGGUAUUCAACGAGGAAUUCCUAGUAAACGCAAGUCAUCAGCUUGCAUUGAUUACGUCCCUGCCCUUUGUACACACCGCCCGUCGCACCUACCGAUUGAAUGGUCCGGUGAAAUCUCGGGACGGCGGCUUGGUCGCUUGCGUCCGACUGCUGAAACUUGAUUAAACCAUAUCAUUUAGAGGAAGGUGAANUCGUANCA